rnacentral:tRNA from 1 species
GGUGAGGUGGCCGAGAGGUCGAAGGCGCACGACUCGAAAUCGUGUGUAUCGAAAGGUACCGAGGGUUCGAAUCCCUCCCUCACCG